rnacentral:misc_RNA from 1 species
CGCAUCUUGCACUCCAUGGUAUUCCGUGGAGUAUGCCUGUUCGAGUGUCACGUCAACCCUCACCCUUGUGAUGUCAAAGUCACCCGCGGUGGAUUUGGACCGUGCCGUAGUCGGCUCGUCCUGAAAUACAUUAGCUUGCGCUUUUAGAGUGCCGGGCAUAGGUGUGAUAAUUAUCUGCGCCGCCGCUCAAGCCUCUUCAGUUGUGCUGCUUACAGUCGUCCUGACGGACAUUAUUAAAGCUUUGGCCUCGAAUCAGGUAGGAUUACCCGCUGAACUUAA